AAAAACGUUCCGCGCAAGGAGCCCAAGAGCCGGGAUAUCUACCUGAGGCUGUUGGUCAAGCUGUACAGCUUUCUGGCCAGACAAAUCAACUCCAUAUUCAACCAGGUUGUACUGAAGAGGCUGUUUAUGAGUCGCACCAACCGGUCACUCUGUUGCUCAGAUGAUCCGGAAGAUGAAGCUUCCUGGCCGGGAAAACAAAAUGGCCGUGGUCUUGGGGACCAUAAUGGAUGAUGUGCGGGUUCAGGAGGUUCUCAACCUGAAGGUGUGUGCACUGUGUGUGACCAGCCGGGCUGCCGCCGCAUCCUCAGGGCGGGGCAGGGGGCAAGAUCCUCACUUUUGACCAGCUGGCCCUGGACUCCCCCAAGGGCAGCAGCACCAUUCCGCUCUUUGGUUCUCUCAAGGGCCAAGAGGUGUACCGGCAUUUCGGCAAGGCCCCAGGAACGCCGCACAGCCACACCAAAGCCUACGUCCGCUCCAAGGGCCGGAAGUUCAAGCGCGCCAGAGGUCAAAGGGCCAGCCGAGACUACAAA
rnacentral:lncRNA from 1 species